UUACAGCUCUUUUAAUUAGCUGCAUGCCAAGUUCUUCGGCUUUCUUUUUUUAUGAAUAUUAACGCGUGCAGCUCUUUAAGCGGCAUAUUGUUUAAUAUAAAAUGCAGGAAAGCAAAACGCUCGAGGCACGCAGCCACACACACACACCCACACGCACACCCUCACGCACACAAAUGCUUAAGCACAAAGAAGGAUAUAACAAUUGCAAAUGGAAAUGUGCUAAAGUGCCAGGCGAAAAAGGCAAAAGAGAAAGACAGAGCAGCGUAAAAGGAUCAGAGCUGUCCAAAAGCGGGCCGUCGAGCGUGGAACUAAACACAAUUUCAAUGCUCCUAGUAUGUGAAUGAGUGUGUGUGUGUGUGUGUUUGUAAUGGUGUGAUGGUGUAAAAUGUAUAUAAAGAAAUAAAAAGAAAUUCGCACGCAACUGUCAAUGGCUGCGUACUUAUUUGCAAGCGCCAACAUCUUGUGUCCAAUGCCCCGCCCUCGCUGCCACCCUCAUCCCACAUUUGCU